rnacentral:rRNA from 1 species
AGAGUUUGAUCCUGGCUCAGGACGAACGCUGGCGGCGUGCUUAAUACAUGCAAGUCGAACGGAGUUAAGGGUUUCGGCCUUUAACUUAGUGGCGAACGGGUGAGUAACGCGUGAAUAACCUGACUCAAAGAGGGGGAUAACAACGGGAAACUGUUGCUAAUACCGCAUGAGACCACAACACCGCAUGAUGAAGGGGUCAAAGAUUUAUCGCUUUGAGAGGGGUUCGCGUCCCAUUAGGUAGUUGGAGGGGUAACGGCCCACCAAGCCAACGAUGGGUAGCCGAGCUGAGAGGCUGAUCGGCCACACUGGAACUGAGACACGGUCCAGACUCCUACGGGAGGCAGCAGUGGGGAAUAUUGCGCAAUGGGCGAAAGCCUGACGCAGCGACGCCGCGUGAGGGAUGAAGGUUUUCGGAUCGUAAACCUCUGUCAGAAGGGAAGAAGUUGCAUGGGGCCAAUCACCUGUGCAUUGACGGUACCUUCAAAGGAAGCACCGGCUAACUCCGUGCCAGCAGCCGCGGUAAUACGGAGGGUGCGAGCGUUAAUCGGAAUUACUGGGCGUAAAGCGCACGUAGGCUGUAUGUCAAGUCAAGGGUGAAAUCCCACGGCUCAACCGUGGAACUGCCUUUGAAACUGGCAAACUGGAGUAUGUGAGAGGGCGGCGGAAUUCCUGGUGUAGGAGUGAAAUCCGUAGAUAUCAGGAGGAACAUCAGUGGCGAAGGCGGCCGCCUGGCACAAAACUGACGCUGAGGUGCGAAAGCGUGGGUAGCAAACAGGAUUAGAUACCCUGGUAGUCCACGCUGUAAACGAUGAUUACUAGGUGUGGGGGGUCUGACCCCUUCCGUGCCGGAGUUAACACAAUAAGUAAUCCACCUGGGGAGUACGGCCGCAAGGUUGAAACUCAAAGGAAUUGACGGGGGCCCGCACAAGCAGUGGAGUAU